GGCUUACAAGCCUCCUGGCAGGAAGUCAAUCCAAGCAGAGCAGUGAAAGUGUAUCAAUGGCAAGGCAGGGCUCUGCUCCCCUUUAGAGGCAAGACAGGCUCCCUACAAGAGGAAUGGUAUUUGAGGCUGGUGCGGAGACCCCCCCCCCCCAGGCUCUCCACAUGAACCUGGAGGGAGAUUAUGCUGGCUGUGGAGAGGACCUGGGCUUGGAACCACAGCCACCACGGGUCUGGAAGGAGACGAUGUCAGCAGUGGAAAGAACCUGGGCCCAGACAGGGCAGAACCUCCUAACAAAACAAGAUGAUCUGCCCUGGGUAAGACCAGGAGCUAGCCCAGCCGAGCCAGAUCCUGAAGACGUCAUCAUGAAAGACAACUGAAACGAUCACGGGCGUGGGCCAGGUCCUAGGACAUCCGGGAGAAAAUGGAGAGCGGCAAGAAGCAUAGCACUCCGGCGCUGUGAUACGGUCCAAUUGCCAAGGUAUAAGUACCCAAGGAAAUUUCAUCAACUACUACAGCGGUGAGCCAUGUAGCCGAUGGACUGACAGACCUACCCUCAAGGCCAUAGCCAGUAGUCACCAACGGGAACAGCUGAAGUCUUCAGGGACUGACUGUGAGUAAGAGCAAUGGCCAGGGACUUUAGGAAUUAGGAAGUCACUUCGGAUUUGCUGGAAUCUUUGGGUGUCACAUCAGUUUAAUUACAGUGUGUGUGUGUGUGUGUGUGUGUGUGUGUGUGUGUGUGCCUGUUCAUGUGGCAGCCAGAGGUUGACUCCAAGUUUUUCCCUCAGUUGUACCCUACCUUCUGUUUUGAGACAGGCUCUUUCAUGGAACACAAAGUUUGCCAAUUUGACUAGACUGUCUGACCAGCAAGCCCCAGGAUUCGCUUGUCUUUGCCUUCCAAUGUUGUGAUUCCAGGUGCACGCUGCUGUGGGAAGCCUUUCAA